rnacentral:rRNA from 1 species
AUUGAACGCUGGCGGCAGGCCUAACACAUGCAAGUCGAACGAGUGGCGGACGGGUGAGUAAUGUCUGGGAAACUGCCCGAUGGAGGGGGAUAACUACUGGAAACGGUAGCUAAUACCGCAUACCAUCGGAUGUGCCCAGAGGGGAUUAGCUAGUCGGUGGGGUAACGGCUCACCUAGGCGACGAUCCCUAGCUGGUCUGAGCGGAUGACCAGCAACACUGGAACUGAGACACGGGCCAGACUCGUACGGGAGGCAGCAGUGGGGAAUAUGGCAAAAGGGGCGAAAGCAUGAUGCAGCCAUGCCGCGGGUAUGAAGAAGGCCUUCGGGUUGGAAAGUACUUUCAGAGAGGAGGAGUUACUCGCAGAAGAAGCACCGGCUAACUCCGUGCCAGCAGCCGCGGUAAUAC